AACCGAUUUGAAUCGGUAUUCAUUUUAUUUACUAUAUAAACAGACGAUAUUUAUAUAUAUUUUAAAAAUAUUGUGACGUCAUAACAAAAUGAUGCCAUCACAGCCUGGGAUUUACCAAACAACGGCUCCAGUCGACGACGACGAAUUAUCAGGAGGAAGUGGAUACCCAAUUACGUCAUUAGUGACGUCAUCAGAGAAUGGUACCAAAUAUUCCACAUUUAUUCAUAAAUCUGAUCCUACUGCACCAACGUUACGAAGUAUCCUAUGGCCUAACAUGACAUCGUCGUCGUCAACGACUCAAAAUGAACUUUCAAAUGACGUCACAACUUUGAUGACAUCUUCAUGCAUGCUACAUCAAACAUUAGCGAAUAAUUUCAGACACUACUCUGCCAGAAAUUGACUUUUCAACGAGCGAUGAAUCUUUAUCAAGAAACACUGUUUUUAGCGCGAACUCUACUGUGCUAUUUGAAACGAAUGAGACUAAUUCUACAUCGUUAUCGGACGUCCAGCCUUCACCAAACAGUGCAAGCGCUCCUUUGUUAGUCGUUGUCGCCAUAAUCGCCUUCGUCACCCUAUUGCUCCUAUUCAUUGGAAUGAUUAGAUAUAGAUUCUGCAAACGGGCUUCUUAUUACAUCAACGAGGCUUACGACAUGGAUAAACUAUAUAGUAACAGCGAGAACAAACCUCUCAAGGAAACAGAUGUCCCCCCAACGAGCGUUUGCGGGGAGAGAGGAAAACAAGAGUGGCUUGUUUGAAACGUUGUCACUAGAUUUUGUUUAAAAUUUUCUGAACACUGAUAUCUAACGAUCAGUUGGAGUAAAUAUGGUUUGUCGCCUUUAACACUGGUAAAAAGUCGGUUCGGAGUAAUUUUUAAAUUUCCCGGAAACAGAGUCGAAACUAUUUCGACAAAACUGAAAGGGGUACAGUAUUGGGUACAAGUCAUCAGCCCCCAAGUCUCAAAGUCGAGCCACGGGUUGUGACAUGACAUGUCGUAUCAAUCAUUGCAAGGCCUCUCUCUACGAACAACGGGCGGGCCACUAAUAUCUAACAAACAAUCUGGAGUUUAAUCGGCUUUUCCACCGUAUUUGGCCUGUGAAUUUCCCGGAAACAAAGUCGAAACUAUUACAACGAAACUGAAUGGGGUACACUACUGGGUACAAGUUCUCAGCCCCCCCCCCCCAAGUCUCAAAGUCGAGCCACGGGUUGUCCGGCUAUCGUGUCAAGUCCCAACAGAUUCCGAACUUCGAGUCCAACAUUUUCAAGUCUAGAAACUUGCGUUCGACAUGGAUAAAAUAAAGUAUUUGAAAGAAACAGAUGUCUCGCCAAUCAGCGUUUGUGGGGAAAGAGGAAGGAAACAGUGGCUCGUUCAAAGAUCGUGACAUGACAUUUCUUCAAUCAUUGUGAGGCCUUUUGCUACGAACAACGCUUUAUACAAGCCGCCACUGAUAUCUAACAAGCAAUCUGGAGUUUGUCGCCUUUUCCACCAUAAAAAGUCGGGUCGGAGUAGUUUUUCAAACUUUCAGAAACCGGAGAAAUUUCCCGCUGAAAUUAAAAAUAGAUUGAGCUGAGGUGAAAAUUUAUUGUUUUUCCCAACAAACUCAGGGAGCUCCACACAUCCAAUUCCGCUCUUCCCUUCCAAACACUGUUUGUAAACGGCCAGUUUUGCAUCCUGCAGAAUUUGGUAUUUUGAAUAACUCCGGUUUGGGAUUAAUGUAAUUUUAGUUAUUGAUGCCAAGAAAACGACGAGUUUUCAGGUGAAAAAAACAACAAAAUUUCAUGCUGUACAAUGCAUUGUGUCCACUGAAGAUAAUACUACCACGAACACACGUUUAUUUUUCAAAUUAUUCCUUUUAAUUUUGUCAACCUGAGCGGAGUUAAUUUUUUUUUUUGAAAGGAGGUGAAUAAAACUUAGGUAAUGCUACAUCCCCGGCGACAUUUCCCUUCUUUUAUUAUUAUAUCUUAUGCAUUUUUUAUAUAUUUUUUAUUCUCGCCUUAUUUGCUAAUUUUAUGUGGCAAUAUCAAAAUACUACAUUGUA